rnacentral:sRNA from 1 species
GCUGAGUGCGGUGGCACACGCCUGUAAUCCCAGUGGCUUGGGAGGCUGAGGCAGGAGGAUCGCAAGUUCAAAGCCAGCCUCGGGGUAAUGGUGAGGCACUACAUAACUCAGUGAGACCCUGUCUCUA